CCUACGGGUGGCAGCAGUGAGGAAUAUUGGUCAAUGGGCGCAAGCCUGAACCAGCCAAGUCGCGUGAAGGAUGACUGCUCUACGGGUUGUAAACUUCUUUUGUAAGGGAGUAAACUGAGGCACGCGUGCCUUUUUGUAUGUACUUUAUGAAUAAGGAUCGGCUAACUCCGUGCCAGCAGCCGCGGUAAUACGGAGGAUUCGAGCGUUAUCCGGAUUUAUUGGGUUUAAAGGGUGCGUAGAUGGGCUGUGAAGUUAGUUGUGAAAGCUUGCGGCUCAACUGUGGAAUUGCCUGUGAUACUGGUCGGCUUGAGUGCAGUUGAGGUAGGCGGAAUGCGUGGUGUAGCGGUGAAAUGCUUAGAGAUCACGAAGAACUCCGAUUGCGAAGGCAGCCUACUAAGCUGCCACUGACGUUGAGGCUCGAAAGCGUGGGUAGCAAACAGGAUUAGAUACCCUAGUAGUC
rnacentral:rRNA from 1 species